rnacentral:ncRNA from 1 species
GCAAACGUGAUGAUAGGAAUUAGUAACAAUGGUCUUCUUCUCAAGAGAGCCGAUGGUUGGUGUGAAUCGGUGAAGAAGCCUUGUGAAUCCAUCCUUGAGCUGAUCGAUUGAAACCUAUAGUAGGUCGAUCCGGUGCUAGCGCAUCGUUACUCUUGAAGUGAGCCGGAAGGACAUUUGUGCCUUCAACCAGGGUGGCAUCGCGGGAAUAUAUAACUCUCGUCCCUAUU